rnacentral:lncRNA from 1 species
UGCUGACAGAAUGGGCACUUGAAGCUGCUCUUGUGAGAGCUCAGGUUUUAUUGUAUUCUUAAAACGUGAAAAGCAUUUAUUAUUUUAGGAGUGUUGGCCUAGAAAAUGUGUUGUUUUCUGUCAAGUCUGUUGCUACUAUUUCUCUAAUAUGAGAGCCUCUCACUUUGUUUUCAAGAUAAUUCAAAGACCUGCUCAAGUGCAAGACCCUAGGAUUCCAGGAGGCACUAAAAUCCUCUAACAGGAAGGGAAGUUUUUAGUGACCUAGAGAAGGAGCAAUAGGAAGGCCAAUAUCUACACUAUGAACAGAAGUAGAAAUGGUGAUGGAUUGUCUGGCAAGAUGCAUUUGGCUUUUCAGGGAAGAACAGGGGUGGCCUCCAAUGACCAAUGAAACCAAGGAAAGAGAAAAAAUUUUCUGCUAGAAAAUGUAUCUGAUCAAAAAAAUAUAAUGCUUAUAUGACACUUAUUCAGGCAGACUCCUUUAAAGUCUUUACAGGCAGGUGUCGAGUGUUAAAAGAAGAAGGAACAGUUAAAAUUUCUUCUUCUUAAAAAAGAUGUCUGGACUUGCUCUAACAAGCCAAUGCUUUCCCAUUAGUCCCUAAGCUGGAUGCAGCACUGCUGUGGUGUCUCAGGAAAGUAGAGGGCCAGAACCCCUUCCUCGCCC